UCAGCAAUCAACAACAGUCACUAGACAUCAAACAAAGUGAACGCACAGUUGUACUGAGCUCCCAAAAGAUUCUGAUUCAUUUAAAACCAAAACUUAAAACUAAAACUAUUAUCAACAUGAAAUUCAUCGUAUUGGCAUUUUUGGUUGUUUUGGCCGCUGUUGCUAUUGUUUCAGCUGUACCGGUCGAUGAAUCGUUGCCUGAAGCAGUGUACGGCAGCUCGGAUAACUACAAUCCACAAGAGCCAAGUGAAUUCUUCAAAUUGAAGAAACUCAAGAAAAUCUUCUUCGGUUAGAUUGGAUUAAUGUCGAAACAAUUGCAUCGAUAACGAUGGUGAUAAGAGAACGCCACCAUCCACCAUUCUCUAUACUCACAAAUUUAAUUGUUUUUUUUUUUCUUAAAUUUAAUUGUUUUGAUUAUUUAUGCUGCAAAUAUAUCGCUGAGAAAUAUUAUCCUCA